AAUAUGUAGGGAUGAGUGAGUGUGAAGAGGGCAUGAGAAGAAACCGGUGUUUCAGGUUGUUUCAAAAGUAAAGAUGAGAGUGAGUGGGGUGUCAGAGCGAGAGAGUGAGGGUGGUUGAGAGAAGUAUGAGGGGAAAGAGGUUGUGAGGAGGGUCAGGGUGAGUGUCUGAGGUUUGAUGGUGAGGAGGACGUGUGUGUUUGAAGCUGGAUGUGUGGAGUGAGCAGAGUGUGUGCAUGAGUUCGGAGUGAGAGGGUAUAACGGUUUGUGAGAGGAUGCUGUUAGUGAGGAGGGAGAUGUUGCGUGAGUGAGAGGGUUUGUGCAGAAGGAGAAAAGAAGUGUGAGGGAGAGAGGACCAGCAAAAGCUCCCCGUCCCCCAUCGCAAAGACACUUUGUUUUGUAAGAACAGGUUGUGUGGUUUGGAUGUUUUCUGACAGUGAAAGCAGUGUUUGGGAGUGUGAGCGAUGGCGGUGAGGAAACAGCCCGGGCCCUGCUGUUUCGCUGACGUUUUGUUGCUGCAUCCCCCUUUCUCACACCUCAGGUUGGAUCGGGGUGGGGCAGCAGCUUUGUCGAUGCAAGUGAGCGUGGCAGUGUGUGCGCGCACGCAUGGGCAAGUGCAGGUGCACAUGUUUACAUGAGUAUGUCCGUGUCUCUACCUGUGUGGGUGCACGUGUGUGUUUGGAUGUCUGCGCACAUGCAUUUGCAAAUAUGCAUCUGCAAAUGACUGCGAGUUUGUAUGCAAAUGUGUGUGUGCAUAUUUAUGCACAAAUGCAUGUGCAUGUAUCAAUGUGUGUGUGAAUGCACCUGUCUGCAAAUCUGUGUGUCUGUACUGUGUGCAGAUGCAUGUGCAUUUGAGUCUACAAGUAUGUGUGUGCGCACGUGCAUUUGAGAGUUUGAAUAAAUUUUGUGUGUUCUGCUACUCCACCUCCACCCUCAUUCACAGCAGAGUUGAGAGGGAUAUUAUCCACCAUAUAGGGUACUGUACCUUCCAAAUUUUGAGCACCCCACCCCACACUUCCUAUCUGUCACAUGCGCGCAACCCCCUCCCCAACCUCCAAACACAACCCCCACACACGUUUCUCUCUGGCAUGUUCAUGGCUGUCCAUCAGCCUAGACGAGGUGCCAAGUGGAGGCCCAUGACGGAGCAACAGCUGCCACUGACAACUUCUGUCUCGGCCGACACUCCUUUCUGAGCCGCGAUGUGUCUGUGGGGCCCUUUCCCCUUUGAGUGAAAAUUUGUGUGCUUUUCCCUUCUCUGCCCCUGUCAGCCUCUCUUCCUGACGUUUAGAAACCUGUUGUGUUCUUCACGGACCCCUCUCCGGAAUUAUGAUUCUGCAAGAUGUUCCAGCUCGUGUUGUUGGUGAGUGUGACCAGGUGGGGAAGGGGCUCUUCUCCCCUCACCCCCUCGCCAGCCUGAGCUGCCCAAACACCACCUCCUUCCCACAUCUCUUCCCCCUCCUCAUUGCCAUUUUGGAACAGACGUCACGCUAAGGUGCUGAACAGUGAGUACUUGAGAACCUUGCCCCGCGCUGUGUAGAAAAUCAGAGGCAGAGAAACGCAAAGGAGGCUGGGGAGAGACUCAAAACGCAUGCACGUCAAAAUCUGCUUUUUUUUUUCUCUUGGACGUUUGGAGCAGAUAAUGAUUUAAAAAAACUAAAAAGAGAGGAAACCAACGUGCUGUUUGGAGAGGGCCUCCUCCAUGUUUGAUGGGCUUCAGGUGAAACUAAAGAGCUAAAAGUGAGAUGAAUUGGCUCUUUUACAGCGAGAUCGAAACACUGCAGACCCGUUUAACAAAAUAAAAAUCAACGGAAAAUUCUCGAAGGUCUCAGUCGGUCUGGCAGCAUUUGUAGGGGGAGAGCCAACUUUUCAAGCCAAUUUGCAAAAUGGCUUCCUUUCAAAAUGGCCUCCUUGUUGACCUCCCUUUGGACAAUGGCAGAGUAACUGUUGUGAGGGGUCAGCCCAGUGCCUGGGGUGUGGAGGAUGUUAAUGAAGGGAUUGUUCAUCGAAGGUCACAUUCAGGUGAUGCUGUGUGUUGGAAGUGGUUUAUCGAGAGACUUUUUGGUGUAUGAGAUCCCACCUGUGUCCCCUCUAUACAAGCAACACAAAACACCAGGUUUUGUUUGGAGCAGGGAAGGGAUCCUAUCGUUUACUGAGUGAUGAGAUUCUUUCCGUUAUUUUUUCCUUUAAAUCUUUCCAUAGAGUGUGUACUGAUCUGCGGUUAAUGUCUGGCAAGUCAAAGGGAUCCUAGCACUGUGUACAACUCAGUGUGUGUAAAACACUGACCGUAUAGUUAAUGUUCGCAAGGUUCAUUUUGAAGCUUUUAACCUGUUUGGAGAUCUGUUUGUAAUGUUUAAACUCCUAUAGCCUUCCACUACUCCAUCACCCUUUCUCUCUUGCAACCCUCCCCCCAAGACCAGUCAUCAACCCUGCUCCCUAUAGCCUUGCUUUCUCUAUCUCUUCCAUCACUCUAUCCCCCUCCAUUCUUGGCCAAUCCCCCCACCUCCCGAAAUGUGAUUGUGUCUGACCCAUCAGUCCAAACCCUGAGGCACAUGCUGGGUUUUGGGGACGAACAGGUGGUGAGUAUGCUCAAGAUGCUUGGCUCACCCAUGGGUGGGUGGAAGUGGAUUUGGGUGGCCGGAACUCUGGGAAAUGUGGAGAGAUUCCCCCUGCCAUUGCCUCCCAGCACCAUUGAUGUGGCAUUAGUAGAGGUCCGUUUGUGGUUUCACUGUACUCCCAAGCAGUGCACCUUGUGUGUAGUACAGUUCAAUGGUUGACUGUGGAGCUUUCCACACAAUUGGGGUGGGGGGGGCAGAUGUUUGCAUCUUUCUUGGGACAGGAUUUAAAGAAUUUUUUUUAUCGUCUAUUGCCCCCAAUCCCCCAAAACGGAUAUGAAAUGAUUGGUUGAGUUGUGAUACCAUAUAUCUCCAUGUACUACUCAAUGUUAUUGUAAUGUGUUGUUGCCUCAAAAUCAGUGUAAAUCUACCAGAAGGAAAUACAAUUGAUUAUAUACUUUGUA